rnacentral:lncRNA from 1 species
ACUAUUUGCAGUGACGUACUACAUCAAAUUUGUGACAAUCUAAAGUAUAUUUAUAAAAAAAAAAAAAACCGGAUAAAAUAAGGAAGACAAAAAGUGACAAAAACAAAAGGAAAAGAUAAAAAGAAAGACGAAAACAACCAUUUUCUCACGGAGACAGUUGACUGCCAUACAUUCUGAAGAAAUUUUACGCUUAAAAAUGAUUGAUGGUUCAAAGUGAAAAUCGAGUCGACGUAUUCUGAGAAGUCUUACUAUUAAGAUGUAGAUAGAAAAGGAACGAUAGAAAUAAAAACAGAGACAGUGAUGCAGAGGAAAGAGGAAUUAAGAAAAAUACACGGGAAGAAGAAAAAAGUAAAGAAAGAAAGAGGAAGAAAGAAAGCUUUUCUCUCGCGAUGCAAUCUCAAUUUAUAGCGCGUUUAAGAUGACAUCGAUAAAACUCCACCCAAACGGUCAUCUGGAUUGAUAGCUGUCUUUAGUGGCAUUAAGCAGGAUUCCAAAGUGAUUUCCCGCAGUCCUACGAAAGCUCGAAAAACUAAUUUUCUCUUGUA